rnacentral:rRNA from 1 species
GCUUGUCUCAAAGAUUAAGCCAUGCAUGUCUUAGUGUAAAUAACUCUUAUGAAACUGCGAAUGGCUCAUUAAAUCAGUUAUCGUUUAUUUGAUGGUCCCUUACUACAUGGAUAACCGUAGUAAUUCUAGAGCUAAUACAUGCACAAAGGCCCGACUCACGGAGGGCUGUAUUUAUUAGAUUCAAACCAACCCGGUCAGCCCCUCUCCGGCCCCGGCCGGGGGGCGGGCGCCGGCGGCUUUGGUGACUCUAGAUAACCUCGGGCCGAUCGCACGCCCCCCGUGGCGGCGACGACCCAUUCGAACGUCUGCCCUAUCAACUUUCGAUGGUAGUCGCCGUGCCUACCAUGGUGACCACGGGUGACGGGGAAUCAGGGUUCGAUUCCGGAGAGGGAGCCUGAGAAACGGCUACCACAUCCAAGGAAGGCAGCAGG